GGCAAGUUAAGCAACGUUGGGCCUUCUUAGUACUUGGAACGGAGACGUCCUGGGAAUCGGAGGUGUUGUAGGCG
rnacentral:rRNA from 1 species